rnacentral:rRNA from 1 species
GAUGAACGCUGGCGGCGUGCCUAAUACAUGCAAGUCGAGCGAACGGACGAGAAGCUUGCUGCUCUGAUGUUAGCGGCGGACGGGUGAGUAACACGUGGAUAACCUACCUAUAAGACUGGGAUAACUUCGGGAAACCGGAGCUAAUACCGGAUGAUAUUUUGAACCGCAUGGUUCAAAAGUGAAAGACGGUCUUGCUGUCACUUAUAGAUGGAUCCGCGCUGCAUUAGCUAGUUGGUAAGGUAACGGCUUACCAAGGCAACGUUGCAUAGCCGACCUGAGAGGGGGAUCGGCCAACCGGGAACUGAGACACGGCCCAGACUACUACGGGAGGCAGCAGCAGGGAAUCUUCCGGCAUGGGCGGAAGCCUGACGGAGCAACGCCGCGUGAGGGAUGAAGGUCUUCGGAUCGUAAAACUCUGUUAUUAGGGAAGAACAUAUGUGUAAGUAACUGUGCACAUCUUGACGGUACCUAAUCAGAAAGCCACGGCUAACUACGUG